AUGUCUUCCUAUCUUAUUUUUUUGUGCAGGCUUUUUUUUGUGAGGCCUAUAAAACAUGUACAUGGGUCUGGUCCAAGUCCAGGUCCAGGAACAGGAAUGAGUGCCAGUAACAGGAGUAAGGUGGAGUGUGUUGUGGUCUCUGAGAGGGACGGCUCUUGCGGUUCUGCCAGACUGGAUCUCUGCAGUGAGAAGCUCCUCUCCAUCUGCCUGCUGAUCUACAGGCCAGAAACACACACACACACACACACACACACACUGCGCUCCACCACUUUGCUCUGAACAGCAUCACCUUUACUGUUGAUGUUGGGUUGCCAGUGUGCAUCAGGCUUUUCCAUGACGUGACUGUAUAAAAAAUGAUGAUAUGAAAUCCAGUGAGUGUGUUCUGACUGUGAAACAAGCUUUUACACACACCUCCCUUCCUUACACACACACACACACACACACACACACACACACACACAGAGAGAGAGAGAGAGAGAGAGAGAGAGAGAGGUCCAUGGGGGGAUGAAAACAAAACUGUGCCAAGUAUCAGGGAGAGGUGGAUAGAGGUAGGUGUGGAGAGAGACUGUGAGUAAAAGCCAGUGUGUGUGUGUGUGUGUGUGUGUAAGAGUGGGAGAUGUGUGGAUGUGUGUGUUAUAAGAGUGGGCAGAAAGAAAGAAAAGAGGAGAAGCAGAGGAGAAGAAAGUUGAGAUGUGGCACGUGAGCUGCAGCAUCAACCCCAAACGCCUCCCUGAUGGAGUUUCCUCCUCCGUCAGCUCUGUGAAGAAGGGAUCAGCCGGAGGAGUGAAGGGGAAGAGGAGGGUGUUCUUCUCUCUGCGCUGCCGCAUGGGGGUCAUCAGAGGAAGAAUGAAAGGUAAGUAACUGUACACACGUGCAUCAUCAGAAUAUUGUGCCUUUUAGCCUUUAUAACUUUUUAAAAAAUGAUUUUUGACAACUUAUUAGUCAUAUUUAAAAAACUUCAGAAAACACAGAAAUUAUAUUUUCCAGCUUAAUCACUUUUUAUUGCCUGAGUCUAUCUGAUUAUGGCAAGCUGCAUAUGAUAGAGUGGAAAAUUGGCAUUUGAUGAAUUCUUCAUGGAGACAAUUAGAUAAAUAUUAAGUGAUUAAAUAUUUACAUUUUAUUAAUUGUUGAAUUGCAGCAGCAAGUGUCUUAAGUUCCCUUAAAUAUAUAAAACAGUGUGAAUGUCUUAAUUUAACAAAUGUUAAAGGUUACAAUAAUCCUGUUACCUAAAUUAAUUCU
rnacentral:lncRNA from 1 species